rnacentral:rRNA from 1 species
GAUGAACGCUGGCGGCGUGCCUAAUACAUGCAAGUCGAGCGAACGGACGAUAAGCUUGCUUUUUUGAUGUUAGCGGCGGACGGGCGAGUAACACGUGGAUAACCUACCUAUAAUACUGGGAUAAUUUCGGGAAACCGGUGCUAAUACCGGAUAAUAUUUUGAACCGCAUGGUUCAAAAGUGAAAGACGGUCUUGCUGUCACUUAUAGAUGGAUCCGCGCUGCAUUAGCUAGUUGGUAAGGUAACGGCUUACCAAGGCAACGAUGCAUAGCCGACCUGAGAGGGUGAUCGGCCACACUGGAACUGAGACACGGUCCAGACUCCUACGGGAGGCAGCAGUAGGGAAUCUUCCGCAAUGGGCGAAAGCCUGACGGAGCAACGCCGCGUGAGUGAUGAAGGUCUUCGGAUCGUAAAACUCUGUUAUUAGGGAAGAACAUAUGUGUAAGUAACUGUGCACAUCUUGACGGUACCUAAUCAGAAAGCCACGGCUAACUACGUG